rnacentral:rRNA from 1 species
GACGUAGGGUGCGAGCGUUGUCCGGAUUCAUUGGGCGUAAAGGGUGCGUAGGUGGCGCCGUAAGUCGGGUGUGAAAUUUCGGAGCUUAACUCCGAAACUGCAUUCGAUACUGCGGUGCUUGAGGACUGGAGAGGAGACUGGAAUUCAUGGUGUAGCAGUGAAAUGCGUAGAGAUCAUGAGGAAGACCAGUGGCGAAGGCGGGUCUCUGGACAGUUCCUGACACUGAGGCACGAAGGCCAGGGGAGCAAACGGG